rnacentral:rRNA from 1 species
AAUGUAAUUCAUAUAUCGUUAAUGCACCAUAUGAAAUUAAAACUCUGUAGUUAAGUGCACUUGGUUUAGAGUAGUACUGGGAUGGGUGACCUCCCAAGAAGUCCUAGUGUCUUACAUGC